ACUCUAUAUUAGGAGCAAUGUUGUGUAGUUACAUGUUGAAUAACCAGCCUCGGUGUUACAACUAGUGAUUCCCUUGUCAUUUCCUGAGCUUUACCCUCCAUUUUAAAUUUGGAAAGUAUUUCCUGCAGUCCUAGAGAGAUUUAUCUUGUAUUUGGGUAGGCCUACAAUACAUGUAUAUCACCAGAACGACAUUAGUGUCAGCGAUCGCACAAUCUUUGGAGAUGUUGACAUGACCCUUUGACAAAGACGAGCAAGUUUGGUCAUCAAUUUCAUAGAUGCAAGAAGCUGGUUGCCACAAUAGCGAAGACCCAGGCGUAAAAUUACACAUAAAUGUAGAAAAUUAUAAUCAGUUUCCUAUGAUGAUGAAGUCAUUUGGAAUCAAUGGCCUUUCUUCGAGAAAUAAAACCCGAUACAUUUUUUAUUUCAUGAAUGAAACAAUUGAAUGCAACACAAUAUUAGCCUGAAUCGUUCCCAGACAACACGAUACAAACCAGAAAAUCCUCAUGUACAAGAAGAAUGCUGGUCCUCGACCUGCAAAAUAUUACCUCAUUCUCUGGUGGGAGUGUGAAAACCACGCCGAUCAUUAAAAUCCAUUUCAGAGACUGAAGUAGCAGACCAUCGCUCUUCUUC